rnacentral:rRNA from 1 species
AUUGAACGCUGGCGGCAGGCCUAACACAUGCAAGUCGAGCGAGCGGCGGGCGGGUGAGUAAUGUAUGGGGACUGCCCGAUAGAGGGGGAUAACUAAUGGAAACGGUGGCUAAUACCGAAUACUAUCGGCUAACCCCUAUGGGAUUAGCUAGUAGGGGGGGUAAAGGCUCACCUAGGCGCCGAUCCCGAGCUGGUCUGGGAGGAUGGUCAGCCACACGUGCACUGAGACACGGCCCAGACUCCUGCGGAGGCAGCAGUGGGGAAUAUUGCACAAGUGGCGCAAGCCUGAUGCAGCCAUGGCGCGUGUGUGAAGAAGGCCUUAGGGUUGUAAAGCACUUGCAGCGGGGAGGCGUUACCCGCAGAAGAAGCACCGGCUAACUCCGUGCCAGCAGCCGCGGUAAUAC